AUAGUAUGGUUUCUCUUUAGGUUGUAUAAAUCUUUCAUAAAUCUUUUACCUAUUACUAAAGAUUAUCGUAGAAGGAAACAGUUAUUAUUUCUUACCCAAUAUGUUAAGGCUAUACACUUGUAAGACU
rnacentral:snRNA from 1 species